CAGUAGCCGCGGUAAUACAGAGGGUGCGAGCGUUAAUCGGAUUUACUGGGCGUAAAGCGUGCGUAGGCGGCUUCUUAAGUCGGAUGUGAAAUCCCUGAGCUUAACUUAGGAAUUGCAUUCGAUACUGGGAAGCUAGAGUAUGGGAGAGGAUGGUAGAAUUCCAGGUGUAGCGGUGAAAUGCGUAGAGAUCUGGAGGAAUACCGAUGGCGAAGGCAGCCAUCUGGCCUAAUACUGACGCUGAGGUACGAAAGCAUGGGGAGCAAACAGGAUUAGAGACCCCCGUAGUCCCUGUCUCUUAUAC
rnacentral:rRNA from 1 species